CAGCCGCCGCGGUAAUACGAAGGGGGCUAGCGUUGUUCGGAUUUACUGGGCGUAAGGCACACGUAGGCGGAUCGAUCAGUCAGGGGUGAAAUCCCAGAGCUCAACUCUGGAACUGCCUUUGAUACUGCCGAUCUGGAGUAUGGAAGAGGUGAGUGGAAUUCCGAGUGUAGAGGUGAAAUUCGUAGAUAUUCGGAGGAACACCGGUGGCGAAGGCGGCGACCUGGUUCAUAACUGACGCUGAGGCGCGAAAGCGUGGGGAGCAAACAGGAUUAGAUACCCCUGUAGUCCCUGUCUCUUAUAC
rnacentral:rRNA from 1 species